AACGUAGGUGGCAAGCGUUAUCCGGAUUCACUGGGCGUAAAGCGCACGCAGGCGGCGGCGUAGGUAGGGCAUGAAAUCUCCUGGCUUAACUGGGAGAGGUUGUCCUAGACCGCGUUGCUUGAGGAUGGGAGAGGGUAGUGGAAUUGCCGGUGUAGUGGUGAAAUGCGUAGAGAUCGGCAGGAACACCAGUGGCGAAGGCGGCUACCUGGCCCAUACCUGACGCUCAAGUGCGAAAGCUAGGGGAGCGAACGGG
rnacentral:rRNA from 1 species